rnacentral:rRNA from 1 species
AGAAUCAACGCUGGCGGCGUGCCUAACACAUGCAAGUCGAACGAGAAAGUGGAGCAAUCCACGAGUAAAGUGGCGCACGGGUGAGUAACACGUGACUAACCUACCCUUGAGUGGGGGAUAACCUAGAGAAAUCUGGGCUAAUACCGCAUAAUACCUUCGGGUCAAAGGAGCAAUUCGCUUAAGGAGGGGGUCGCGGCCGAUUAGUUAGUUGGCGGGGUAAUGGCCCACCAAGACUAUGAUCGGUAUCCGGCCUGAGAGGGCGCACGGACACACUGGAACUGAAACACGGUCCAGACUCCUACGGGAGGCAGCAGUGGGGAAUUUGCGCAAUGGGGGAAACCCUGACGCAGCAACGCCGCGUGGAGGAUGAAGUCCCUUGGGACGUAAACUCCUUUCGAUCGGGACGAUAAUGACGGUACCGAGAGAAGAAGCCCGGCUAACUUCGCGCCAGCAGCCGC